CGCCGCUGACUGCCGAGACGAGCUCCCGCCGGUGAGCCCUCCUACUCCACCGGUUCCGGCCGCGAACUCCGUCGCGGUCCUCGUCGUCAGUUCGUACAGCUUCCGAGGCGGAGUUCGCGGUGGCGGGCGGCGGUAGCGUUGCUAAGGUGCGUGUGGGUGGUGGAGCGGGGCGGGGUCGGGGGCAGCAGCCAGCAGGUUAGGCGGGGUGGAAGAAGCUGGAGUUGCUGGGUGGCUUGCCUGAGAUGGUGAGCUCAAGGAACCCUAGACUGGAAUUGACGCCGGUAGCAGCACAUUCCCGGUGAUCGGACGGGGGAGGCAGGGAAAUCUGUGGGCUGUGGCCAUGGAGAAUUGGAGAUUGCACCGCGAUGGUGCUUCCUGUGCUGCUGCAUUGGUUGGAGUGGAUUGAACACUGAGGUGAGGUGAAAUCCUGUUCGCGCGUGUCUAUUGAGCCAGCAAAAAUUAAGUGCCAACCAGUUUGUUUGAUAACCUACCUAACACGGUUCAAUGCCCCAGGUGUUAGCAAGCUAGUUCUGCCUGCUUGGAACUAGUUGGUUACGAAGUCUACACACUGGGAUCUGGCUUGCCGCAUAACAACAGGGGACAAAUUGACCUUCAGGCCUUGUUCUGUUGAAUGUCCUGAACAAGUGAAGAUUAGCAUCUACCAGUUAAGCUCCAUAAGUUCAAUAAAUGAUUGCUAUCAAGCUCUUUUGAGAAAUUGGAAGGCGAAAAGCCUUGUAACUUCUCUGUCACGGAUCGUUAAGGAUAUGAAACUAACUUCAAGUAUCUCUAGCUCCCUGCAAAUCAGAAAGAGAGCAGUAGUGGUCUAGUGGACCUUACUGCAAGGUGUUUUUCGUUGAUUCAUUAAGCUUUAUGAAACUAUUGUUCCAUUGCUUCCACGCGUUUCUUGUCUUAGUGUUUUCACUUUAGUUAUCUGUCCUAAUAUCUAUGUUUUGUUAGCUGGUCUACCCUUUUACAUUUUCUUGGGCAAGUCUAUGCUUUUGCCUUUUUCCACGAGAACUGCACUAGGUAAUUCCAAUAAAUUAACUAUAGUAAUAUGUGAAAACCAUACAAAAAGUUGCAAUAAUGAAAGGAAUAUUACCUAGUUAUGACUUUUGUUACUCCUUGAAUCUGUUCUGAUUCUUUCUGUGUAAGAUAUACUUUAAGCUUUGAGCUCUUGCCUCUCCAUAGGUGAAUCGAUGCCUUACAUGUUUUCUGAAACAGGGACUCACAACCUGAUGAUCUGUUAUAACACCUGAGAUCCAUUUUCCAUGCAAGUAGCUUUUUCAGUUUGUCUAUUCCCUGAAACAUCUGCAGUUCUACAGACACCGGUAUAAUAUUUUGUUCCCCAGAUGGAUAAAAGAAAUCUAUCCUAGUAUCCUUCCCCUUCCGCCCCCACAUUAUAAGAUGAUUUGGCUGUACCUAGAUUCAUUCAUAGAUCA